rnacentral:rRNA from 1 species
GAUGAACGCUGGCGGUAUGCUUAACACAUGCAAGUCGAACGGACUCUUCGGAGUUAGUGGCGGACGGGUGCGUAACGCGUGAGAAUCUGGCUUUGGGUUCGGGACAACCACUGGAAACGGUGGCUAAUACCGGAUGUGCCGAGAGGUAAAAGAGAAAUUGCCUGAAGAUGAGCUCGCGUCUGAUUAGCUAGUUGGUGAGGUAAAGGCUCACCAAGGCAGCGAUCAGUAGCUGGUCUGAGAGGAUGACCAGCCACACUGGGACUGAGACACGGCCCAGACUCCUACGGGAGGCAGCAGUGGGGAAUUUUCCGCAAUGGGCGAAGGCCUGACGGAGCAAUACCGCGUGAUGGAAGAAGGCUCUUGUGUUGUAAACCUCUUUUCUUAGGGAAGAACAAAAUGACGGUACCUAAGGAAUCAGCAUCGGCUAACUCCGUG